rnacentral:rRNA from 1 species
ACGGAAGGCAGCAGUGGGGAAUAUUGGGCAAUGGGCGCAAGCCUGACCCAGCAACGCCGCGUGAAGGAAGAAGGCCUUCGGGUUGUAAACUUCUUUUAAGGGGGAAGAGUAGAAGACGGUACCCCUAGAAUAAGCCACGGCUAACUACGUGCCAGCAGCCGCGGUAAUACGUAGGUGGCAAGCGUUGUCCGGAUUUACUGGGUGUAAAGGGCGUGCAGCCGGGGAAGCAAGUCAGAUGUGAAAUCCAUGAGCUCAACUCAUGAACUGCAUUUGAAACUGUUUCUCUUGAGUACUGGAGAGGCAAUCGGAAUUCCUAGUGUAGCGGUGAAAUGCGUAGAUAUUAGGAGGAACACCAGUGGCGAAGGCGGAUUGCUGGACAGCAACUGACGGUGAGGCGCGAAAGUGUGGGGAGCAAACAGGAUUAGAUACCCUGGUA